rnacentral:rRNA from 1 species
GAUGAACGCUGGCGGCGUGCCUAAUACAUGCAAGUCGAGCGAACAGACGAGGAGCUUGCUCCUCUGACGUUAGCGGCGGACGGGUGAGUAACACGUGGAUAACCUACCUAUAAGACUGGGAUAACUUCGGGAAACCGGAGCUAAUACCGGAUAAUAUAUUGAACCGCAUGGUUCAAUAGUGAAAGACGGUUUUGCUGUCACUUAUAGAUGGAUCCGCGCCGCAUUAGCUAGUUGGUAAGGUAACGGCUUACCAAGGCGACGAUGCGUAGCCGACCUGAGAGGGUGAUCGGCCACACUGGAACUGAGACACGGUCCAGACUCCUACGGGAGGCAGCAGUAGGGAAUCUUCCGCAAGGGGCGAAAGCCUGACGGAGCAACGCCGCGUGAGUGAUGAAGGUCUUCGGAUCGUAAAACGCUGUUAUUAGGGAAGAACAAAUGUGUAAGUAACUAUGCACGUCUUGACGGUACCUAAUCAGAAAGCCACGGCUAACUACGU